GGGAUGUAGCUUAGUGGUAGAGUGCUUGCCUAGCAUGCACGAGGCCUGGGUUCAAUUCCUUGUGCCAUCUCA
rnacentral:tRNA from 1 species